GAUCCUGGCUUAGGAUGAACGCUGGCGGCGUGCUUAACACAUGCAAGUCGAACGAAGCAUUGUGAUUGAUUUCUUCGGAUUGAUUUCACUUUGACUUAGUGGCGGACGGGUGAGUAACGCGUGGGUAACCUGCCGUAUGCAGGGGGACAACAGUUAGAAAUGACUGCUAAUACCGCAUAACCCGCUAGUGCCGCAUGGCACAGACGGAAAAGAUUUUAUCGGCAUACGAUGGACCCGCGUCUGAUUAGCUUGUUGGUGAGGUAACGGCCCACCAAGGCGACGAUCAGUAGCCGAACUGAGAGGUUGACCGGCCACAUUGGGACUGAGACACGGCCCAGACUCCUACGGGAGGCAGCAGUGGGGAAUAUUGCACAAUGGGGGAAACCCUGAUGCAGCCAACGCCGCGUGAGUGAUGACGUAUUUCGGUAUGUAAAGCUCUAUCAGCAGGGAAGAAAAUGACGGUACCUGACUAAGAAGCCCCGGCUAACUACGUGCCAGCAGCCGC
rnacentral:rRNA from 1 species